GGCAGCGUGGCUCAGUGGAAAGAGCCUAGGCUUCGGAGUCAGACGUUAUGGGUUCAACUCCCAGCUCUGCCA
rfam:Ornithorhynchus anatinus chromosome 1, whole genome shotgun sequence.